ACGAACGCUGGCGGCGCGCCUAACACAUGCAAGUCGAACGGAGAUGAUAAAAGCUUGCUUUGAUCAUCUUAGUGGCGGACGGGUGAGUAACACGUGAGCAACCUGCCUUUCAGAGGGGGAUAACGUUUGGAAACGAACGCUAAUACCGCAUAACGUAUACGGAUGGCAUCAACUGUAUACCAAAGGAGCAAUCCGCUGAAAGAUGGGCUCGCGUCCGAUUAGCUAGAUGGUGAGGUAACGGCCCACCAUGGCGACGAUCGGUAGCCGGACUGAGAGGUUGACCGGCCACAUUGGGACUGAGACACGGCCCAGACUCCUACGGGAGGCAGCAGUGAGGGAUAUUGGGCAAUGGGGGAAACCCUGACCCAGCGACGCCGCGUGAGGGAAGACGGUCUUCGGAUUGUAAACCUCUGUCUUUGGGGACGAAAAAGGACGGUACCCAAGGAGGAAGCUCCGGCUAACUACGUGCCAGCAGCCGCGGUAAUACGUAGGGAGCGAGCGUUGUCCGGAAUUACUGGGUGUAAAGGGAGCGUAGGCGGGAAGGCAAGUUGGAUGUGAAAACUGUGGGCUCAACCGACAGACUGCAUUCAAAACUGUUUUUCUUGAGUGAAGUAGAGGCAAGCGGAAUUCCUAGUGUAGCGGUGAAAUGCGUAGAUAUUAGGAGGAACACCAGUGGCGAAGGCGGCUUGCUGGGCUUUUACUGACGCUGAGGCUCGAAAGUGUGGGGAGCAAACAGGAUUAGAUACCCUGGUAGUCCACACCGUAAACGAUGAUUACUGGGUGUGGGGGCGGAAAGCUGCCGUGCCGGAGUUAACACAAUGAGUAAUCCAGCUGGGGAGUACGACCGCAAGGUUGAAACUCAAAGGAAUUGACGGGGGCCCGCACAAGCAGUGGAGUAUGUGGUUUAAUUCGAAGCAACGCGAAGAACCUUACCAGGUCUUGACAUCGUGCGCAUAGUCUAGAGAUAGAUGAAGUCUUUCGGGACGCAUAGACAGGUGGUGCAUGGUUGUCGUCAGCUCGUGUCGUGAGAUGUUGGGUUAAGUCCCGCAACGAGCGCAACCCUUACGAUUAGUUGCUACGCAAGAGCACUCUAAUAGGACUGCCGUUGACAAAACGGAGGAAGGUGGGGAUGACGUCAAAUCAUCAUGCCCCUUAUGACCUGGGCCACACACGUACUACAAUGGCAAUGACAGAGGGAAGCAAGAUAGCGAUAUGGAGCAAACCCCUAAACAUUGUCCCAGUUCGGAUUGCAGGCUGCAACCCGCCUGCAUGAAGCCGGAAUUGCUAGUAAUCGCGGAUCAGCAUGCCGCGGUGAAUACGUUCCCGGGCCUUGUACACACCGCCCGUCACACCAUGGGAGUCGGUAACACCCGAAGCCAAUAGUCUAACCGCAAGGAGGACGUUGUCGAAGGUGGGAUUGAUGACUGGGGUG
rnacentral:rRNA from 1 species